GGAACCGUGCCCGAAUUAUUAAGGACCACUUUGAUAGAGUGGCUAAUGAGGGUUAAAGUCCCUCCAGUUCCU
rnacentral:tRNA from 1 species